rnacentral:RNase_P_RNA from 1 species
UGAGUAAGACAAAUGGUCGCAGCUGCUAAGCCGAAAGGCUGCAGGUGAGGAAAGUCCGGGCUUCAUAGGGCAGGAUGCCAGAUAACGUCUGGCGGAGGCAACUCUAGGGACAGUGCAACAGAAAUAUACCGCCGCUUUAUGCGGUAAGGGUGGAAGGGUGGUGUAAGAGACCACCGCUUUUCUGGUAACAGGAAGGGCAUAUGUAAACCCCAUCCGAAGCAAGACCGAACAGGGAGCGCAAGGCGGCUCGUCUGCUCCCGGGUAGGUCGCUUGAGCCUGCUGGCGACAGUAGGCCUAGAUAGAUGACCAUUCAACGACAUAACCCGGCUUAUCGUCUUACUCAAAGC